CGAGGGGAGCUAGCGUUGUUCGGAAUUACUGGGCGUAAAGGGCGUGUAGGCGGUACCAUAAGUCAGAUGUGAAAGCCCUGGGCUUAACCUAGGAUGUGCAUUUGAUACUGUGGAACUAGAGAUCGAGAGAGGAAAGUGGAAUUACGAGUGUAGAGGUGAAAUUCGUAGAUAUUCGUAAGAACACCAGUGGCGAAGGCGACUUUCUGGCUCGAUACUGACGCUAAGGCGCGAAAGCGUGGGGAGCAAACAGGAUUAGAUACCCUGGUAGUCCACGCUGUAAACGAUGAGUGCUAGAUGUUGGUGAAGGAAUUCAUCAGUGUCGCAGCUAACGCAUUAAGCACUCCGCCUGGGGAGUACGGUCGCAAGAUUA
rnacentral:rRNA from 1 species